rnacentral:rRNA from 1 species
GAUGAACGCUGGCGGCGUGCCUAAUACAUGCCAGUCGAACGCUGAAGGAAGGAGCUUGCUCUUUCCGGAUGAGUUGCGAACGGGUGAGUAACGCGUAGGUAACCUGCCUGGUAGCGGGGGAUAACUAUUGGAAACGAUAGCUAAUACCGCAUAACAGUAGAUGUUGCAUGAUAUCUACUUAAAAGGUGCAAUUGCACCACUACCAGAUGGACCUGCGUUGUAUUAGCUAGUUGGUGAGGUAACGGCUCACCAAGGCGACGAUACAUAGCCGACCUGAGAGGGGGAUCGGCCAACCUGGGACUGGGACACGGCCCAGACUCCUAAGGGAGGCAGCAGUAGGGAAUCUUAGGCAAUGGACGGAAGUCUGACCGAGCAACGCCGGGGGAGGGAAGAAGGGUUUCGGAUCGGAAAGCUCUGUUGUAAGGGAAGAAAGAGUGUGAGAGUGGAAAGUUCACACUGUGACGGUAGCUUACCAGAAAGGGACGGCUAACUACGUG